ensembl:lncRNA
ACCGGGGUCCUACUGGACCAGACAGGGGUCCUACUGGACCACACAGCCUUACGUUGACAUUGAGAGCGUUGACACUCUUUCAUCCAAAGCGACUCACAAUAGAACAUUUGUCAGAAGAAAGAGAAACAACAGUAUAUCUGUCGGUAUAGUAAGGGUGUUCAUAGAACCGAGUGCCAAUCACUAGGGUAACCCAUUCACGUGCACAACAAGGAUAGUUAUGACGAUGAUGAGGCCGGUCCCACGGGGGACGGGGACGACGACGAUGAUGACGAUGAUGAGGAUGACGAGGGGUCAGACGGCGACGACGUCGGCCUGUCUUACCUGAUGAAGGACGGCAUUCAGGACGAAGAGGACGAUGACGACUACGUUGAGGAGGAUGAUGAUGAUGAGGAUGGAGCAGCAGCUGCAGCGGGGGUGCCGGCGGGGGAGAAGAGGAAGAGGGCCCCCGAGGACGAGGGCGAGGAUGACGACGACGAUGACGACGAUGACGAAUAGAUCCAGCAGGGGGCGCUGCUGGUCCUAUAAUUAUCUAGAUGUUACCAUAGAAACUGACCAGGGUUUUCCCACAACGUUUGUCUACAACAUGUUGUUUUUUUUAAUCAUUUGUGUGUGUGUGUGUGUGCGUGUGUGUGUGAGUGUGUGUGGGCGUGUUUGUGUGCGUGCGUGUGGAGCUACAGACACUGGGGGUUCUGAAACUGGAACUUUUACGCCACGUUUACACCGGUGCAACCAGUCAGGACACCGGUGGAACCCAAUCUCUUACUGGUUUACAAGAAAAAUCACAUCCUUCAGGUGACCCAGAUACUUCAAACCGGAGGCACAGAUUCACGUCUGAUUGGACCGUAAAACGUUCUCCAUCCCACCUAGGCCUGUCAAUCUGUCCGACUCUGAGUUCCUCGGCCGAACCCGCCCCCCACGGCGGGCAGAUUUCCGUUCAGAGUUCAGCAUUAACCCAAUCGCCUCCGACUCGUCCCUCCCUGUCCUCCACGUUUUGGGUCCCAGCCCCGUCUAGCUCGCGUUGAGUUCCAGCCCCCCUCCGUGCCCUCCACCGUUCAGGUUCCAGAUACUUCCACCGCUUCAUAGACGACCUGUAAAUAGAGUUCUCUCCUUGUCAGUUAUUCUUGAUUUGCUCCCGUGUGUUUCCUGCCUCCUUUACACCGGGCCGUGGGCUAACGGAAACUUAGUCUUUCAAAGGGUUCUUUUAUUUUUUUAUUUUCUUGCCUUCAGAUCAUGUCAUGUCUGAGGUUUGUGUGUUGUAACCUUCUGGCAAGUGUUUUGGAAUAAAAAUCUAAAUGUUCGUCUUUGUUUGGUAUCGUAAAUGGGUGGCUUUUGGCAUCUUGUAUCUAAAAUGCUGGCCUGUUGCUGAAAAUUAUGUGUAUCCAAGUUCACUAAAAGUUGCUUUGGAUAGAAGCAUAUUCUAAAUUUAUUAUUAACAAUCAAGUGUGGUUUUAUCAAUAGCUAAAGAUUUAAGGCAAACCAAAGUAGAUAAGAGUCUGAGAAGUUUUCUUUCCUCAGCCGGUAUUUAAUCCGGUUGUGAGCUACUUAGGAUGUUAAGAUGACCAAUUUCCAGAGUGACCGCUAGGCGGCAGUGUAGACACGUACUUUUCGGGUAUAAAACAAUGGAACGGAGUUAUUAAUUAUUAUGAGGUUCCCACGGCAGGUACUUAUGAGGCAUUUAAGUUUGAGUUUUUGUCAAAGAUCCUUAUAACAUUUUAUGAUAUUUUGUUUUUGCUAUUAUUCCUGAUGUAUCGUCCCUGAGUUGUUUCUCGGAAAUCCUACCGAUCCUG